rnacentral:rRNA from 1 species
CCUACGGGAGGCAGCAGUGGGGAAUAUUGGGCAAUGGAGGAAACUCUGACCCAGCGACGCCGCGUGCGGGAUGAAGGCCUUCGGGUUGUAAACCGCUUUCAGCAGGGAAGAAGCGAAAGUGACGGUACCUGCAGAAGAAGCACCGGCUAACUAUGUGCCAGCAGCCGCGGUAAUACAUAGGGUGCAAGCGUUGUCCGGAAUUAUUGGGCGUAAAGAGCUCGUAGGUGGUUCGUCACGUCGGAUGUGAAAAUCUGGGGCUUAACCCCAGACCUGCAUUCGAUACGGGCGAGCUUGAGUAUGGUAGGGGAGUCUGGAAUUCCUGGUGUAGCGGUGGAAUGCGCAGAUAUCAGGAGGAACACCAAUGGCGAAGGCAGGACUCUGGGCCAUUACUGACACUGAGGAGCGAAAGCGUGGGGAGCGGAACAGGAUUAGAUACCCUGGUAGUCCACGCCGUAAACGGUGGGCACUAGUUGUGGGGACCUUCCACGGGUCUCUGCGACGCNGCUACGCAUAGUGCCCGCCGUCGGGAGGUACGAGUCGCGAGAGUUAAACGUACGAAAGUUAAGUUAGUACGGCGUUGAGACGNGCCGACGGACGACGACGAGGGAGGAGG